GGGAGAUGCUGGGACGACCGGCCUGACUCUGCGCUACACUCCUGCCCCCCAUGUUUGGAACACAUUCUGCAGUCCCAACUGCUGUUCCAAACUUAAACAGAGACAGAGAGAGAAAGCGACAGAGAGAGGAAGAGGGAAAGCAAGAGAGCGACAGGAACCAUGUGACCUCAAGGUCGUCAUGAGAUGGACUUCAGGUCGAUGAUGUCACCGCUGAUCCAUCCAUCCGGCCGGCCGGAGGACAGCCCUGGGCCUCUUCCAUGAUGCGUUACCGUGGCAACCAUACCGUCUGCCCCCCUUGACCUGCUUCCUAUCAUGGUACCACACACACACACACACACACACACACACACACACACACACACACACACACACACACACACACACACACACACACACACACACACUCACUCACUCACUCACUCUCUCUCUAUCGACAACCUGCUGUUAUGUCAUCUUCGUUAAUUUAAAUAACUUUAGCAACCCCAUGAACACGAGGUAUACACACUAACACUAGACCAAAUAGAUGAGCCAGCCACCUCCUACCGCGCAGCGGGGGUCGGGGAGCUCCCAGCGGGGGUGAGGGAAAGGCCUGCCCGCUGAAAGACCCUUUCAGCUCCUCCAAACAAAACAGACAUUUGCUGGAACGGUCGCCUCCAAAACUUAUUCAAAACCUCUCAAACUCUCAGAACGAUAGAGUUGUAAAUCAACGCGAAGCCACCUCGACACACUCCGUCUCCGCUCCGUAAACUUUCCUGCCUCCAGUACAUUCCUGUUGAAAACUAAGUCCGGGUUGGGCUCCUCCACACCGAUAGACUCUUCGUUCCCAGCCGCCUGGUCCUGGUAUGGCUGGGCUUGGAACACCCACUGGAAUGGCUCGGCUUGGAACACCCACUGGAAUGGCUCGGCUUGGAACACAGGCUGGAAUGGCUCGUUUAGGAAUUGUUGGUUUGGAUGACAGGCUGUGCCGGCGGAACCCCGCCCCUCCCUCUCAGCACUGAGGCCUGAGAAACAUAAACCGUCAUCCUUUCUACAAGGUUUGUAAGAG
ensembl:lncRNA